GACAGAGGGUGCAAACGUUGUUCGGAAUUACUGGGCGUAAAGCGCGUGUAGGCGGCUAAGUAAGUCGGGCGUGAAAUCCCACGGCUCAACCGUGGAAGUGCACUCGAAACUGCAUAGCUAGAGUCCUGGAGAGGAAGGUGGAAUGCUUGGUGUAGAGGUGAAAUUCGUAGAUAUCAAGCGGAACACCGGUGGCGAAGGCGGCCUUCUGGACAGUGACUGACGCUGAGACGCG
rnacentral:rRNA from 1 species